rnacentral:lncRNA from 1 species
AAUACAGGAUGCCUACUGUCCCAUGCUCACGAACUCUGUCCCCUCGCUUGUUCUCUGUUCUUUGCUCAAGUGGUAGAGAUCUAAGCAGCUCAUUAUAAAGAAGGGAAACGACAUUAAGGCAGAGAGGGCAAAGUCAAACUCAAACUCAUUGAACUUGAGAAAUUAAAAUCACGGCAUGGUGGCUGGUUUUCCUUUUCUCAUUCUUCACAGACAGUGGGAGGAUAUGACUCUGGAAAAUUAACAUCAAGUGCUUGUGAGGAAGACGGGCCUUCCCACGAAGAGCUGAAUACCCACCCCAUGCCUGCAGUUGGGGAUGUUUUAUCAUUGGGUCACAACUACCAGCGUGUGAGGCGCGGAUGAUAUGGAAUCACUUCAAGUUUUGUAUUAGGAACAAAACAAAGCAACACAACCCUUGAAGCUGGCCUGUCCCCAGGGAUACAUAUUCUUCAAAGAAAUCCCCAAUACCAACCACUGUAGCAAGAAGUCUAUGUUACAUGGAUGGGUACUAUGUCUGUCCAAGGGGAUUCAUUGCUAGAGAAUCAGCAAACAUUCAGUUAACAGUAACCAUGCUGCUGCUACUUCUAAUAAGAUCCCAUGUGUUUCUCCCUGCCCCCAGAUCUCCCGCUGGCCUUCACCAGCUUCCAGUAGUGCCCAGCUGAUGACUAGGCCUUCAACACAUGGACCUCAAGGGACACUGAAGAUCCAAACUGCAGCAGUAUGUAAGUGCCCCUUUUGGCUUUGUAGCUGGCGUGAGGAGAGGUGUUGAUUCCAGCUAGGGCAAGGUCCAAGUAUAUGAGAGAGAGUUUGUUUUUGUUAGCCUCUGUCUACCUCCCAUCCCCAGAAACCCACUUCCCAUCCGCUUCUGCCUCCCUUAGGACACUUAGACUUCACCCUUCCGUCUUCUUGCCCACCUUCUCUACAUGUUCUCGGCUGUUCUCUGACUCAGUGCUUUAAAGUUUGAAUCUGUUGAAGAACAACGGUUCUGUCUGCAAAUCUUAUACCCUAUUAUUUCCGAGGAAGCUUUCUGAAGUUCAGGGCCUUCUUGGAUGUUCCAAGAGCAAAUCAAACCCUGGCAACUUAAGACCUGUGGUGAAGCAGGAUGGUGGAGGAAAGGUCCCCUAGAGUCCAUCACAUCAUAGAUGUGGUGAUGAUGUCUGUCUCCAUGAUCCAUACCUGUGGACUCAGUAGACUUGGACCAGAUAGACAACAAAUGGGUAUCUUUAGAUGAUGGGUUUCAGCUUUACUACAGAGCCAGUGCUGGAAAAUAAAUGUUUGCAGGGCUCCUUAUGUAGGACUCCUCUUGGGAGAGGUUCAUAGGGUGGUAGGUGGGGCGAGCUGACAAAAUCAGGGUCUCUUCUGUGGCUAGCAUGACCAUGGGACACGAACCAUCUAUGCAAUUCUGGUCUUUUUCUUAAAUCUUCUUAGUUUCUUUUGUCCUAAAGUAUUGUAUGAACCAGGUGGUUAGUAUGAAUCAGGCCAGUGUGUAGCCACAGAAACCCUCCAGUCUCAGA